rnacentral:rRNA from 1 species
UCCGUCCUACCGAUUGAAUGAUUUAGUGAGGUCUUCGGACCGGUGCGCGGCAAUGUCUUCAUAGCAUUGCCGAUUGUGCUGGGAAGAUGACCAAACUUGAUCAUUUAGAGGAAGUAAAAGUCGUAACAAGGUUUCCGUAGGUGAACCUGCGGAAGGAUCAUUA